rnacentral:rRNA from 1 species
UACAGAGGGUGCAAGCGUUAAUCGGAAUUACUGGGCGUAAAGCGUGCGUAGACGGUUAUGUAAGUCGGGUGUGAAAGCCCCGGGCUCAACCCUGGGAAUUGCAUUCGAGACUGUGUAGCUAGGGUACGGAAGAGGGAAGCGGAAUUUCAGGUGUAGCGGUGAAAUGCGUAGAUAUCUGAAGGAACACCAGUGGCGAAAGCGGCUUCCUGGUCCAGUACCGACGUUCAGGCACGAAAGCGUGGGGAGCAAACAGGA